ensembl:antisense Gm44264 predicted gene, 44264
AUAGUCUCCAGACAGUGAUGGUUUGUGUAUAAAGGGGACUGGGGGAUGAGAUCCUGAGAGAGCCUAGAGCACUUGCCUCUUAUCAAGGCACUAGGCUCUACCCACUACCCCAACCGACCACAAGUAGUACAACAGAAGGAAAAAAACAGGAUCUUUCAUUUCUGCACCUUGUCUGCGUUUCUGUGUAUGUUUCCUGAAACCAUCCAUACACACAGGAAACUGAGAGCAGUGUUUGGGACAGAGAACCAGGAGACCAAAGGACAGGAAAGCAUCUCGGUGCACGGCAGUGAAGGUGAGAACUGUGUCCGCGUCUGCGGGCUGUGAGUUCGAGACCACAAGCCUUCCGGGCUGGUGGCCAGGCCUAGGCUGUCAGGCCGCCAUCCAUCCCGCGAGCUCGGACCCCGAGCCCGGCUCCCGCCCCGGCCCGCGCUCACCGCCAAUGAUGGUCCGGAUGAGGGAGGCGUGCCCGGGGCAGUCGACCAGUGUGACCUGCAGCAGCGUGUCGCUAGAACCGGGUUCUGCCCCCGGCAGCGGCACGACAAAACAGGAGAAGCCCAGGUCGAGCGUUAUGCCGCGCUCGCGGCUCUGCGGCUGCUUGUCGAAGGCAGCAGUGGAGGCCGUGGUGCUCAGCGCGCGCGCCAGCGCUGUUUUGCCGCUGUCGAUGUGACCCAGCACGCCCACAUUCACAUUUACCCGCCGGCCGGCCAUCCCGCCGCUGCCCCUCACGCCGUCGCCUGAGCGC